rnacentral:misc_RNA from 1 species
CUGCGAGUUCGCGGGAGAGUAAGUUAUUGCCAGGGUUUUUGUUUUAUACUUUAAACAUUGAUUUUAUUUUUUAUAUUAUUUGGAUAAAACAUUCAAAAACAUAAAAAAUAAAACAUAUAUUGGCAUGGAUUAAACAAAGAUAUAUAUUAUUCUAUGUUGUAUAAACAAAUUGGCAAAAUAGAGAUGGAAGAUAAAAAUAUGGUCAAAGUAGUAAGAGUCUAUGGUGAAUGCCUAGGA